GCUGGUGCCCUUCAGAUCGUCCAUGCAGGCAGAGAUCGCCUGCCAUUUGCUGGCCUUCAGUGCCGAACCUCAACCUGAGGCAACUCAACGGGAAGUCCGGGUGUCAGGCAGUCGUCUUGCUAUCCGCCUGAGUGCAGACAACAUGGACCAAAUGCGCCUUUCCAUCUCCUCCUGUCUCCAGGAGCUGUUCGUGCUGAUUGAAACCAUGCAGCACAUUUUGCCCCCAUUCUUUUUUGUCAGCCCCAGGACAAUGAAUGGGGGCUAAGGAUUAGAGGCCCUAUCGGUGCAUGCUUCCCUGAGGCAUGGAAUCCCACAGGAGCUGCCACAGCAUCAUGGGGGCCCAAGUGUUUACUUGUACUAGCCCUUCGGUACUCUCAUUUCUAGGGUUUCCCCAUAGGUAGAGGAGGGAGUCACAGCAAAAAAUACAAGUGAAUUCUUA